rnacentral:rRNA from 1 species
UAGGGAAUCUUCCACAAUGGACGAAAGUCUGAUGGAGCAACACCGCGUGAGUGAAGAAGGGUUUCGGCUCGUAAAGCUCUGCUGUUGGAGAAGAACGUGCGUGAGAGUAACUGUUCACGCAGUGACGGUAUCCAACCAGAAAGUCACGGCUAACUACGUGCCAGCAGCCGCGGUAAUACGUAGGUG